rnacentral:rRNA from 1 species
UACGUAGGGGGCAAGCGUUGUCCGGAUUUAUUGGGCGUAAAGGGCGUGUAGGCGGCUUGGUAGGUCAGCUGUGAAAACUCGAGGCUCAACCUCGAGACGUCGGUUGAAACCACCUGGCUAGAGCCCGGAAGAGGAGAGUGGAAUUCCCGGUGUAGCGGUGAAAUGCGCAGAUAUCGGGAAGAACACCCGUGGCGAAGGCGGCUCUCUGGGACGGUACUGACGCUGAGACGCGAAAGCGUGGGGAGCGAACAGG